GCCUCCCAUCAUCUGAUGCUCAUUCAUCCUCCUCCUCCAGCAAGACCUCAAUGAGACGCUCUCCUCCAUGAUUUCAUCUUCUGUUCACCUCUGGAUGCGUAAAUGGUGGUCUUUCUUCAACGGUUACUGCCACAUUUAGCCAUAUUGUUUCCGUUUCUGAAGCGCUGUUCUCGGGUUUGGAAUUAAAUAGCGCACAAACCGAAACUGAGGAAAUAAAGGUUGACAAUGAAGCAGCAAUACAUUUGAAUCUGGAGAUAUCGACGGAUAUCUACAAAAAGGAUUAUUACGGCAAUGGAGUGGCUCUCAGUGCGUGUGCUCCUCUUCUGCCCAAGUCAACUGCCCCCUCACGCUGCUGUGCCCCUCGCCUCGUCCUCUCAGCACAUCCGGAGGAAGGACUGCCCGUCCCUGUAGGAAUGCCUGUUCGGGCCUGGCACCUGCCUCUGCCCGCGGCUGCUCCCACACCUUUUGCCAUUCCACCCCCCUCCAGCUCUCACAGGCUGCUCCAUCAUGAACGAUGAGGUCAUCAGCACUAACGCACUGGCCUGGCUGGUCUGCUCGGGAGUGUCCAUCCUGGCCAACACCUGGGGAAUCCUGAGCGUGAGCGCCAAGCAGAAGAAGUGGAAGCCUCUGGAAUUCCUCAUCUGUACCCUGGCUGGCACACACAUCCUCAACAUGGGUAUCCCUAUCACCAUGUAUUGCGUCAUUCAGCUGCGGCGACAGCACUCCAACUAUGAGUGGAACGAAGGACUCUGCAAGGUGUUUGUCUCCACCUUCUACACCCUUACCCUGGUCACCUGCUUCUCCGUCACCUCCCUGUCCUACCACCGCAUGUGGAUGGUCCGCUGGCCUGUCAACUAUAGGUUGAGUAACACCAAAAAGCAGGCUGUCCAUACUGUCAUGGGCAUCUGGAUGGUGUCGUUUAUUCUGUCAACCUUGCCUGCUGUGGGCUGGCAUGAUACCACAGAGCGCUUUUACACCCACGACAACUGUCGCUUCAUUGUGACUGAGAUCGGCUUGGGCUUUGGUGUCUGCUUCCUGCUGCUGAUCAGCGGGAGUGUAGUGAUGGGCGUCAUCUGUAUUGGAAUUGCCCUCUUCCAGACCUUUUCCAUCCAGAUGGGUCAAAAUGUAGACAAGAACAAAUUUAACGUGCCCACCAUUGUAGUGGAGGAUGCCCAGGGCAAGAGGCGUUCAUCCAUCGACGGCUCAGAGCCCCUUAAGACGUCGCUGCAGAUAACCUAUCUGAUCAGUGGAAUCGUCUUCAUAUACGACUUUCUAACUGGAUUCCCCAUAUUGGUGGUGAGCUUUGCCAGCCUGAAAUUUGACCGCUCCUACAGUUGGAUGGUCCUGUGUGUCCUCUGGUGCUCCAUAGCUCAAUCAAUCCUGCUCCCCAUGUUCCUGUGGGCUUGCGACCGCUACAGAGCAGACGUCAAGAUGGUCUGGGAGAAAUGUGUGGCCAUCAUGUCCAAUGAUGAAGUGGAUGAAGAAAACAGCCAGGAUGGAGGCAUUCAUCCGGACUUAAUAUUUGACAGACCGUUUGACUAUAGCUCUGCUGGUGAUAUCAUGACGGUAGACCGUAUUGCCAAGUACGAAUUCUCAACCUUAGAAAGGGGGUGCCCCCAGGGUUAUCCAUUGAGGGAGCUUCAGGAAGAUAAAAUGCACUAUUUGCAGGUGCCCCCUACAAGAAGAUACUCCCACGACGAAACCGACAUGUGGACCACCGGCCAGAUCCCGUCUUACCUGCAUCGCUGGGGCUCCACAGAGGACAUCAUUGGCAUCCCGCAAUACAGCUCGCUGCGCCACGAGAGACAUCGGAGCAGCCCUGCGUCCUACCACGAGGAGAGCCACCCACACCGCAAAAGGAGGCGAUCCGAGGACAUGCAUUCGCUCAAGCAGAUUCCACGAGUCGAGCGUUAUGAGGGCGAUUUCAAGUGCUUUAGCCGCGACGAAGUGAUUAACUUCAUUGAUGAGACGCCACUUGCUAGUCCAAUGAGAAGCCCGCGGCGAGCCUCUACGAUCUCUCUGGUUCCAGAGACCUUCGAGCAGCACGUUGUUUUGUUGCCGCAUUUCCCGCUCACGCACUUUGAGCGCGAGCCUCAAGCGUUGAGACGCUGCUCUGAGCACGGCAAAGGAGCCACGCCAGGCGAGAUCCCUCAGGAUCCGCAGAGAAAGGCGAGGGACGGUAGCGUUGGCGAAGGCUCGGGCAUCAAGGCAUGCCCUGAGCACAAGCGUGCAUCAGAGCUUGUCCCGUUGGGACCAGGUGCAUGGACAGGGGAGCAGUCGUCUUCAAGUAUUUGGACAGGACAGGUAGAUGCAUCUGCUUGGGUGGACCAGAAGCACCUGCCAAAAGGGGAAAGCAAAGGAAGCACUAAUAGUUUUAUAAGCUCACAAUCUGCAUCGUCAGGCUAUAUGACAUCCAUAGGAUCCACGAACUAAGCGACAGUUUUAUUAGAAUAUUUUCAAGUAGAUAUGCUUAUUAGUGUUAAAGCUUUGACUAAGUGGAAUGUUUUUGUUAACUAGGAAGUGGGAUUUUUUAAGUGUGAUGAUUCUAAAUGGCAUAAGGACACCAUCGUUGGUCAAAAUACUGCCUUUCUUGACUAAGGAAUUUGGGGC
rnacentral:lncRNA from 1 species